GACGGAGGAUGCAAGUGUUAUCCGGAAUCACUGGGCGUAAAGCGUCUGUAGGUGGUUUAAUAAGUCAACUGUUAAAUCUUGAGGCUCAACCUCAAAAUCGCAGUCGAAACUAUUAGGCUAGAGUAUAGUAGGGGUAAAGGGAAUUUCCAGUGGAGCGGUGAAAUGCGUAGAGAUUGGAAAGAACACCGAUGGCGAAGGCAGCCUCCUGGGCCAAUACUGACGCUCAUGCACGAAAGCGUGGGGAGCAAACAGG
rnacentral:rRNA from 1 species